GCUUACGGCCAUACCAACCUGGCUAUGCCCGAUCUCGUCUGAUCUCGGAAGCUAAGCAGGUUUGGGCCUGGUUGGUACUUGGAUGGGAGACCGCCUUGGAAUAACAGGUGCUGUAAGCU
rnacentral:rRNA from 1 species